rnacentral:rRNA from 1 species
GAUGGAGGAGCUUGCUCUUCCUGAUUAGUGGCGCACGGGUGAGUAUACCAUAGAUAAUGUACCUCUUAGUUCGGGAUAGCCACUGGAAACGGUGAUUAAUACCGGAUACUCCUUCUUACUAUAAGGUAAGUCGGGAAAGUUUUUUCGCUAAGAGAUCAGUCUAUGUCCUAUCAGCUAGUUGGUGAGGUAAUGGCUCACCAAGGCUAUGACGGGUAUCUGGUUUGAGAGGAUGAUCAGACACACUGGAACUGAGACACGGUCCAGACUCCUACGGGAGGCAGCAGUGAGGAAUAUUGCACAAUGGAGGAAACUCUGAUGCAACAACGCCGCGUGGAGGAUGACGCAUUUCGGUGUGUAAACUCCUUUUAAGAGGGAAGAUAAUGACGGUACCUCUUGAAUAAGCACCGGCUAACUCCGUGCCAGCAGCCGCGGUAAUACGGAGGGUGCAAGCGUUACUCGGAAUCACUGGGCGUAAAGGGUGCGUAGGCUGGCUUCUAAGUCAGAUGUGAAAUCCAAUGGCUUAACCAUUGAACUGCAUUUGAAACUGGGAGCCUAGAGUUCAGAAGGGGCAGAUGGAAUUAGUGGUGUAGGGGUAAAAUCCGUAGAUAUCACUAGGAAUAUCAAAAGCGAAGGCGAUCUGCUGGGAUGAUACUGACGCUGAGGCACGAAAGCGUGGGGGAGCAAACAGGAUUAGAUACCCUGGUAGUCCACGCCCUAAACGAUGAAUGCUAGUCGUCGGGGAGCUCGUCUCUUCGG